rnacentral:rRNA from 1 species
UACGUAGGGUGCAAGCGUUGUCCGGAAUUAUUGGGCGUAAAGAGCUCGUAGGCGGUCUGUCGCGUCGGCUGUGAAAUCCCGGGGCUCAACCCCGGGCCUGCAGUCGAUACGGGCAGACUAGAGUGCGGUAGGGGAGACUGGAAUUCCAGGUGUAGCGGUGAAAUGCGUAGAUAUCUGGAGGAACACCGGUGGCGAAGGCGGCAUCCUGGACCGGCAUUGACGCUGAGGCGCGAAAGCGUGGGGAGCAAACAGG